CUGAGCUUCCUCCCCUCCAGUGCUGAAAUGGGAAGGCGUUCAAAUUCCCAGCCUCCCAUCGGGACUCCACUUCCUGCUCACUAAUGUCACAAAGAAAACCAAGAGUUCUGUCGCCCGGAAGGACGCUGCGGCCAGAGUCUCUCCCUCAAGCUUGGCCAGGGAGGGUGAGAAGUGGAAUGAAGGGGCCCUGGCGGUCAUUCCUCCUUCGGACCAGUGAGCUCGUUAACUGAGAAGCUGACUGUAAUGUUUGGAAGUAAUUAGGGCUGCAUCCAAUUGCUCCAGGAACGGGGUUCCUUUCAUUGGAUGAAAAAGAAAGUUACUUUAACCCUCUGGGAAAUAUCACAGGAGGUUCAACUUGUGUGCACACACAUUUGCAUUAAUAUUUGCUGGUUACUGCAUCACCUUCCACAUACUGGGAAUUUCGGUUUAUUUUGCGGAAAGAAGGGGUAAAGUAGGAAUCUUGUUCUUGUCUUUCUGCGGGGAACAGCUUCCCUGGGCUCCCCCCUUUCUCUGGCCACUGAGUUAAAUGCUUUUCAGGGUCUUACCCCAGAGUCCUCGGACCUCAGGCUCCUGACCCUCUCUGACCUGCUCAUGUUCUGCCCACCUUAGAGACGUGAUGGCCAUUUCCUGUAUCUGACCCACCCUGUCUUCCCAGGCUGGGGACACUGCUAGUCAAUGGUUGGCUAGUGGACCUAGCACCCCAUAUAAAACUGGGCUGGAAUAAAAACUGCUUCUGGAAUGGC